rnacentral:lncRNA from 1 species
AUCGUAGUGCACACCUUUAAUCCCUCACAAUGACAGCAUGGUUAGUUUGUAAAAGGAAGCAGCCAUGUUUGAAAAUAACAUCUAAUUGAGGAAGUAACAUCUAAUUGAGGGGCAGACAAAGUGAUGAAUCAGAAAGAUUUAACAGAAUGAGUCAGAGAUAGGAUACACCCGCCUCACACAAGAACAGCACAGGAAAGAGAAGUUAGUUAAGGGCAGCAAGAAGGAAAUUUUACGGUAUGGUAUAUGGUAGGUGUUUUUGAGUAUGGUAGUUUUAUAAAGACAGGUGGCAGAGAGAACAAGCAGACAGGUGAAGACAGAACUAACCAGAGCAUUGGAAGAAGUCAGGAGAUUAGAACAUAUUUCCAAAGUUAGUAUGAGGCCAAGCAGAGAAGUUCAGUGAGAAGCCAAGAGAGGCUGGAUUGAAUCAGUCAGCUUGGAAAAUUAGGUUGUAUGGAGGUUAGAAGCUUCCAGGUCUAGGCUGACCGCUAGUUACAACAGAGAAAGAAACACUCUGGGCUCAGCCCAACCCAUGUGUUUGUACGGCUUGGAUACAGCUCUCUUCUCUGAGGAAAUAAAAGAGACAUUUACACAAA